AAAAUUUGUUAUUAAUUUGAUUUAUAUGUAAAUUUUUGUGGGGGUAUUUAUUAAUUUAAAAAAUUAAUAAAAUUAUUUUAAUCGCAGUAAUUAAUUUUAUUAAUUAAAGAAAUUUAGAAAUAGCAAUAUUAAAAAGUAUAGAUUAAAUUGGUGCCAGCAAUCGCGGUUAUACCAAUUAUACAAAUAAAUUUUUUUAGUAAAAGUUAAAUUGAUUAAAUUUAAAUAAAAUUAAAUUUAUUAAGUGAAAUUUUAAAUUUAAAAUUUUUAUAGAAAAAAUAAUUGAAACUUAAAAAUUUUAAUUAA
rnacentral:rRNA from 1 species